rnacentral:rRNA from 1 species
GAUGAACGCUGCGGCGUGCCUAACACAUGCAAGUCGAACGGAGUGCCCAGGAGGAAGUUUUCGGAUGGAAUUCGAAGGCACUUAGUGGCGGACGGGUGAGUAACACGUGGGUAACCUGCCUCAUAGAGGGGGAUAACAGAGAGAAAUCACUGCUAAUACCGCAUAAGCACACACUGCCGCAUGGCAGGGGGUGAAAGAGAUAUCGCUAUGAGAUGGACCCGCGACUGAUUAGCCGGUUGGUAAGGUAAGGGCUUACCAAAGCAACGAUCAGUAGCCGAUCUGAGAGGAUGAACGGCCACAUUGGGACUGAGACACGGCCCAAACUCCUACGGGAGGCAGCAGUGGGGGAUAUUGCACAAUGGGGGGAACCCUGAUGCAGCGACGCCGCGUGAGUGAAGAAGUAUUUCGGUAUGUAAAGCUCUAUCAGCAGGGAAGAUAAUGACAGUACCUGAAUAAGAAGCCCGGUAA